AUACUUACCUGGCGUAGGGGCUACCGUGAUCACUUAGGCGGUUCCCCCAGGGCGAGGCCCCUCCAUUGCACUACGGUUGGGUUGACCCCUGCGAUUAUCCCUAAUGCGGAUAACUCGGACGCGUAAUUUUUGAUAGUGGGGACUGCGUACGCGCCGUCCCCUU
rfam:Papilio xuthus contig9481, whole genome shotgun sequence.